AACGGUAUGAUUCGGCGGAGAUAUACGGCCCCGUGAAAACGGGCCGCCCCCGCCAGAGGACCCUUAACUCUGUUUCUUAUAGUGUAUCUUCUGAGUAAAACAAGCAAAUAAAUUAAAACUUUCAACAACGGAUCUCUUGGCUCUGGCAUCGAUGAAGAACGCAGCGAAAUGCGAUAAGUAAUGUGAAUUGCAGAAUUCAGUGAAUCAUCGAAUCUUUGAACGCACAAUUGCGCCCGCCAGUAUUCUGGCGGGCAUGCCUGUUCGAGCGUCCAUUACAACCCUCAGGCCCCCGGGGCCUGGCGUUGGGGAUCAAGGCGGAGCUCCCCC
rnacentral:misc_RNA from 1 species